rnacentral:rRNA from 1 species
CAGUCGCCGCGGGAACACGAAGGGUGCAAGCGUUAAUCGGAAUUACUGGGCGUAAAGCAUGCGUAGGCGGUGAGUUAAGUCUGCUGUGAAAUCCCCGGGCUCAACCUGGGAAUGGCAGUGGAUACUGGCUCGCUAGAGUGUGUCAGAGGAUGGUGGAAUUCCCGGUGUAGCGGUGAAAUGCGUAGAGAUCGGGAGGAACAUCAGUGGCGAAGGCGGCCAUCUGGGACAACACUGACGCUGAGGCACGAAAGCGUGGGGAGCAAACAGGAUUAGAUACCCGGGUAGUCCCUGUCUCUUAUAU